CUCAGUUGAACUUGAUCCAGUCCAAAGAAGAAGAAACCAAGGCACAGAUAGAGUUUGAGUGACUUGCCAGCAUUUCACAGUUUGGCUUCAAGAUCAGAUUUUCCUAAUGUAGGAAUCUUUCUACUUUACCACGCCCUGCACUACCAGUCCCUGAAGUAGCAUUUUUUUCUCCUAACAGAGUUAGGAAGAAUUUGCCUGUAGAAGAGAUCUCCUUAAACUCAGCAGCAUUACCCAGACCCUCCAGUCUCAGAGCUCUGGCCUCAGCCUACUUGCAGCUAUGGCUAAAUCUCCCCUUGCAGUGCAAAGGCUCUUUUUGCACUUAAUGGCAGGAUAGAGGCUCGGCCUCCCCAGCUCUAAUGUUUCCAUUUCUUGGGGACUUUACAGCUGCCUCAAGGUGGUCCCCCCUCCCCCUGCCCAGUCUCUCUGCUUCAGGAUCCAUUCGUCCUGGUGUGUGAAUCCCUGAAGUAGCAUUUGAAUCCUCUUGAUUCAGCCGGAGCAUCUUGGAAAAGUUGUCUCUCUCUCUUUCUCUCUCUCAUACAUAUAAAAAGCCAGGCCAGGGUCAGGGGAGGAUUCUUUGCCUACUGGGAAAAAUGGAGAGGAGGGAAUGGUCACAGCAAGUCUUUUGGAUUUCCUGGGAAAGCUUUUCUCUCUGCUGUGAAGAGGAAACUUCUGGAAGAAGGCCACAUAGAAGUGACAUUUGCUUUUUGGAGAUUUACUGGGGAGCACAUGGGAGCCCAGCUGAGAGUCCUGUAGGAGGAAAAAAUUACUACACAAAUGUACAUUUUCACCCUUGCUUAAUGAAGACAGAAGAUCAGAAAGAAGUAAGGACAUGUGACUCUAGCUCCUCACUGGGGUAUGUCUAAAUCCUUUUCACAGACCUUAGGACUUAGACAAUGGAAGGAGCAUUUGUAUGCAAGUCAGGAUUUGGUGUCCAGUCCCAGAGUGUCUUGGC
rnacentral:lncRNA from 1 species